GUAAUGUCGGGGAAAGCUUUUGCGGUUUGGGAGGAGUCUGCGUUGUAUCAGGUAGUUGGUGGGGUAAUAGCUCACCAAGCCACUGACGCAUAGCGGGUGUGAGAGCAUGACCCGCCAGAAUGGGACUGAGACACGGCCCAUACUCCUACGGGAGGCAGCAGUGAGGAAUCUUCCGCAAUGGGCGAAAGCCUGACGGAGCCAUACCGCGUGCAGGAUGACACCUUUCGGGGCGUAAACUGCUUUUCUGAAGGAAUACAUUCUGAAGGUACUUCAGGAAUAAAGGUCGGCUAACUACGUGCCAGCAGCCGCGGUAAUACGUAGGACCUAAGCGUUAUCCGGAAUCACUGGGCGUAAAGCGAUCGAAGGUGGACCAGUAAGUCUGAUGUUAAAUACCCACGGCUCAACCGGGGUGCUGCGUUGGAAACUACUGGACUAGAGGAAGACAUAGGUAGCUGGAAUUCUUGUUGUAGGGGUUAAAUCCGUAGAUAACAAGAGGAACACCGAAAGCGAAGGCAUGCUACUGGGUCUUUCCUGACACUGCGCGAUCGAAAGCGUGGGGAGCGAAAGGGAUUAGAUACCCCUGUAGUCCACGCCGUAAACGAUGAAUGCUCGGCGUUCGAUUUAUAAUCGAUUGAGUGCCCAAGCUAACGCGUUAAGCAUUCCGCCUGAAGAGUACGACCGCAAGGUUAAAACUCAAAGCGAAUAGACGGGGAUCCACACAAGCGGUGGA
rnacentral:rRNA from 1 species